GACGAACGCUGGCGGCGUGCUUAACACAUGCAAGUCGAACGGAAAGGCCCUGCUUUUGUGGGGUGCUCGAGUGGCGAACGGGUGAGUAACACGUGAGUAACCUGCCCUUGACUUUGGGAUAACUUCAGGAAACUGGGGCUAAUACCGGAUAGGAGCUCCUGCUGCAUGGUGGGGGUUGGAAAGUUUCGGCGGUUGGGGAUGGACUCGCGGCUUAUCAGCUUGUUGGUGGGGUAGUGGCUUACCAAGGCUUUGACGGGUAGCCGGCCUGAGAGGGUGACCGACCACAUUGGGACUGAGAUACGGCCCAGACUCCUACGGGAGGCAGCAGUGGGGAAUAUUGCACAAUGGGCGGAAGCCUGAUGCAGCAACGCCGCGUGCGGGAUGACGGCCUUCGGGUUGUAAACCGCUUUCGCCUGUGACGAAGCGUGAGUGACGGUAAUGGGUAAAGAAGCACCGGCUAACUACGUGCCAGCAGCCGCGGUGAUACGUAGGGUGCGAGCGUUGUCCGGAUUUAUUGGGCGUAAAGGGCUCGUAGGUGGUUGAUCGCGUCGGAAGUGUAAUCUUGGGGCUUAACCCUGAGCGUGCUUUCGAUACGGGUUGACUUGAGGAAGGUAGGGGAGAAUGGAAUUCCUGGCGGAGCGGUGGAAUGCGCAGAUAUCAGGAGGAACACCAGUGGCGAAGGCGGUUCUCUGGGCCUUUCCUGACGCUGAGGAGCGAAAGCGUGGGGAGCGAACAGGCUUAGAUACCCCGGUAGUCCACGCUGUAAACGGUGGGUACUAGGUGUGGGGUCCAUUCCACGGGUUCCGUGCCGUAGCUAACGCUUUAAGUACCCCGCCUGGGGAGUACGGCCGCAAGGCUAAAACUCAAAGGAAUUGACGGGGCCCCGCACAAGCGGCGGAGCAUGCGGAUUAAUUCGAUGCAACGCGUAGAACCUUACCUGGGUUUGACAUGGAUCGGGAGUGCUCAGAGAUGGGUGUGCCUCUUUUGGGGUCGGUUCACAGGUGGUGCAUGGCUGUCGUCAGCUCGUGUCGUGAGAUGUUGGGUUAAGUCCCGCAACGAGCGCAACCCUUGUUCACUGUUGCCAGCACGUUAUGGUGGGGACUCAGUGGAGACCGCCGGGGUCAACUCGGAGGAAGGUGGGGAUGACGUCAAGUCAUCACGCCCCUUAUGUCCAGGGCUUCACGCAUGCUACAAUGGCUGGUACAGAGAGUGGCGAGCCUGUGAGGGUGAGCGAAUCUCGGAAAGCCGGUCUCAGUUCGGAUUGGGGUCUGCAACUCGACCUCAUGAAGUCGGAGUCGCUAGUAAUCGCAGAUCAGCAACGCUGCGGUGAAUACGUUCCCGGGGCU
rnacentral:rRNA from 1 species